AUUUAUCAAAGACAAAGCCUGACAUUAUGAAAACCACUCCGUAUAAACAUCUAUAUAAACAUGAAAACCAAUAUGUAUAAAACAUCUAUAUAAACAUGAAAACCACUUUAUAUACACAACUAUAUAAACAUCGAAAAUCACUAUGAAUUCUAACAAGAAAACAUCAAAAAAUCUGCGAAAAAGAAAAUAUAAAACCACUAUAAAGGACACCAUCUUCUCUCCAAUGAACCCUAGAUCAUAGUCCGUGUAAUCUUCUUUUUCUCUUUUUCUCGUUAUUUGAAACGUAAACCACUAUUUGGAAAAAAAUCAUCAUCUUCUUCCUCCCAUCAGCAAUUUCGUCAAGAAAAUCAUUAUUAAAAUUGAAAUAGAUUUAUGAUUAUCAGCGUCAACAUCACUGGCGUAUGUGAACGUGUAAAGAGAAGAACUCAUUUUUAGGAUUAUAUAUUGUAAAGACCAGAAACACUAGAAUUGGAAAUAGAUGAAAGCAACAAACCUGUUAUCUUUACUCAUGCCGGUCUUGCUAUCAACCACGUCGAUUUUAUCAAAGGGUGUCUGGCAAGAUUUAUCAGAUACUCACAUUCUUCCUUAGACUGUUAAUAAAAUAGUUACAGAAAAAAAUUAUGUCAAAUCAGCCCGAAAUUAACGACGGCGACGAAUCAUAUCAAAACAACUCUCCGGAUUUCGAACUCGAAGAUUCUCUGAAGAAAUUGUUCAAUUGCGACCAAAACGACGCCGUCAGAAGCAGCAUUCAUGCUGAGGUGGAGGAGGCGUUGACAGAAGUCGUCGGUGGCGACAAUUACUCGUCGCCGGAUUUUAAACGGCGGCUAUGAAAUAUUAAAAAAAAUAAUAAUAAAAAAUCUUUAUUUUAUUUCUCAGAAUUCUUGUCCGCCAACUUAUAAUUAACUAGACUUAAACAUCAGUUGACAACAAUUGAUAAGCAACAAAGAUUUUACACGUAAUGUCGAUAUUUCACUUAAUUACUCUUAACAAUUAAUUUCUCAUCAAAUAUUUCUCUGUUGCUUAAAGCAUAUCCAAUUUUUUGAUUAAAAAUUAAAAUAUAUAUUAAACCUAAAUUCUAACCUUUUCUUCCGAAUUUUAUUACAGGCAUCUGCAAAUCGAAGUGGGAGAAAAGCGGCCGGAUUCCGUCGGGGAACUACGAAGAUGAACUGGUCCUAGAAGAUGAACGAGCGGGGACGAUUGAUGUGGUGGAUGACGAGGAGGCAGGCAGAUGCGGUGAUGAUGGGGAGGCGGUGGAACGGGAUUUCUCACCCUCGGUGAAGAGGGCCGAGAUUUGAAGAAGAGAUCGCAAUUAACGUGGAGGAAGAGGCGGCUACGGAGAGAAGAGAGAG
rnacentral:lncRNA from 1 species